rnacentral:rRNA from 1 species
GAUGAACGCUGGCGGCGUGCCUAAUACAUGCAAGUCGAGCGAACGGACGAGAAGCUUGCUUCUCUGAUGUUAGCGGCGGACGGGUGAGUAACACGUGGAUAACCUACCUAUAAGACUGGGAUAACUUCGGGAAACCGGAGCUAAUACCGGAUAAUAUUUUGAACCGCAUGGUUCAAAAGUGAAAGACGGUCUUGCUGUCACUUAUAGAUGGAUCCGCGCUGCAUUAGCUAGUUGGUAAGGUAACGGCUUACCAAGGCAACGAUGCAUAGCCGACCUGAGAGGUUGAUCGGCCACACUGGAACUUAGACACGGUCCAGACUCCUACGGGAGGCAGCAGUAGGGAAUCUUCCGCAAUGGGCGAAAGCCUGACGGAGCAACGCCGCGUGAGUGAUGAAGGUCUUCGGAUCGUAAAACUCUGUUAUUAGGGAAGAACAUAUGUGUAAGUAACUGUGCACAUCUUGACGGUACCUAAUCAGAAAGCCACGGCUAACUACGUG